rnacentral:tRNA from 1 species
CGGAUGUAGCCAAGGGGAUCAAGGCAGUGGAU